rnacentral:rRNA from 1 species
CCUACGGGUGGCAGCAGUGGGGAAUAUUGGACAAUGGGGGGAACCCUGAUCCAGCCAUGCCGCGUGUGUGAAGAAGGCCCUCGGGUUGUAAAGCACUUUCAGUGAGGAAGAACGCCUGGUGGUUAAUACCCAUCAGGAAAGACAUCACUCACAGAAGAAGCACCGGCUAACUCCGUGCCAGCAGCCGCGGUAAUACGGAGGGUGCGAGCGUUAAUCGGAAUUACUGGGCGUAAAGCGCGCGUAGGUGGCUUGAUAAGCCGGUUGUGAAAGCCCCGGGCUCAACCUGGGAACGGCAUCCGGAACUGUCAAGCUAGAGUGCAGGAGAGGAAAGUAGAAUUCCCGGUGUAGCGGUGAAAUGCGUAGAGAUCGGGAGGAAUACCAGUGGCGAAGGCGGCCUUCUGGACUGACACUGACACUGAGGUGCGAAAGCGUGGGUAGCAAACAGGAUUAGAUACCCUUGUAGUC